ACGGGGUGCAGCAGGCGCGAAACCUUUACACUGCACGACAGUGCGAUAGGGGGAUCCCAAGUGCACAGGCAUAGCGCCUGUGCUUUUCGGUACCCUAAGGCGGUACCAGAAUAAGGGCUGGGCAAGACCGGUGCCAGCCGCCGCGGUAAUACCGGCAGCCCAAGUGAUGGCCGAUCUUAUUGGGCCUAAAGCGUCCGUAGCUGGCCACGCAAGUCCAUCGGGAAAUCCACCUGCCCAACAGGUGGGCGCCCGGUAGAAACUGCAUGGCUUGGGACCGGAAGGCGCGACGGGUACGUCCGGGGUAGGAGUGAAAUCCCGUAAUCCUGGACGGACCGCCGAUGGCGAAAGCACGUCGCGAGAACGGAUCCGACAGUGAGGGACGAAAGCCAGGGUCUCGAACCGGAUUAGAUACCCGGGUAGUCCUGGCCGUAAACAAUGUCUGCUAGGUGUGGCUCCCACUACGAGUGGGUGCUGUGCCGUAGGGAAGCCGCUAAGCAGAC
rnacentral:rRNA from 1 species